UUUCCUAUUUAGUUUCAUUUCUUUUGACAGGAAGGUGAUGAAAUAAGAAAAGAAAGAAAAAGACUGUCAAACAGGAAAUCAGCUAAAAGAUCAAAGAUAAAGAAACAGAAAGAAUGUGAAGAGCUAUGUCAAAAGAUAGACACUCUUAAGGAUGAAAAUUCCGUCCUAGCACAAACGCUCGCUGAGCUUUCUAUGAAAUAUCUAGAACUCACCAAUGAAAACGAUUCUAUUAAGGAAGAGCUAGUUAAAGAGUAUGGACAAGAAUCAAUUGCAGAUCUAUUGCACAUGAAGCCUACUUGAAAUUUUUUUCGGGUGGAGCCAAGAUACAGUUUAAGAUGGCAAGCAUUUCAGUAUGUAUAAUAUUUGUCAUUUGGGCUAGAUUUGAAUUUUGACCCUGCUUUAAGUUGUUAAUCAAUAUUAGACAUUUAACAUA